GCCUGGGUGGCUCAGUCGGUUGAGCGUCUGACUUUGGCUCAGGUCACUAUAUCACAGUCCGUGAGGUCAAUCCCCACGUUGGGCU
rnacentral:tRNA from 1 species